GCCACAUAAAGGAAGAGCAGUGACUCUCGAGAGCUGGCAUCCCAGGGUGACUUCACCAUGGGCUGUCAUCGCUGAGGCCAUAAAAAGCCAAAAGCACUACCCUUGAGUCAUCCUAGCCCCUUGGAGCCAAAAACGUAGCAACGUCACGUCUGUAGUUGACCUCGGUUCCGGGCACCUUCCUGAGCAUUCUUCGGGAGGCACUUGUGAAACUCAGCCCAGGUGCUGCCCAGGAUCAGGAGGCUGAGACGUGAUCUGGAAGUGAGUGCCCAUCCAUACACCUUCCCCAGCUUUGGGGCCACAGAGGGACAGAAACCGCAGGCAGGCUGGCCUGGGAAUGAACCUACACCAGCCUGAAGUCAGAAGAGCCUCUAGGAGCCUCCAGCCUGGACUCUUUUUACAGAUGGGGAAACUGAGUCCCAGAGAGGGAGCAAUGAAGGAUGUCUAAGGUCAUCAGCAACGUAAAGCCAACAGCAUCAUCCUGAGUCAUGUUUGAACCUGAGGGACUCUGAUUACACUGGACCUAUCCAAGAUCUGAGAUCAUCAACUCAUCUCAAAAUCCUUAAGCUGACCACAGCAGCAUCGUCCCUUUUGCAGUGUAAGGGAGCCCAGCUGGGACAAUGUGUGAAUCAACGCAUGAAGGAGUGAGUGAGCAGCUAACCAAAUGAAAGAAUACUCAGAUAUCUGGGGUACAGUUCCCCUCCAGGUUUGCACAGCAUCUGCUGAAGUCUCCACUAGAAACUCAAUGGAAGGUCCCCACCGGAAACUGAAAGUCUCCUAGAGUGGCUUUGAGUUGCGGUUUCACCCUCCCUGCAGAUCCACAGGGGAGGCUGGGGCAGAUGGAAAAUACCAACUUGAUGGUCUGUGGCCACACCAUGCUGCUCCCCAAGGCCCCUCAGAAUUUCACUGCCCAAUAUGGUAGCGCCCAGCCUGAAACGUGGCCAGUGUGAAUUGAGAUGGGCUGGAAAUGCACCAGACUUCCAAGAGCUGGACAAAAACCAUAUACUUUCCAUCCAGCUGUUUGGCAUUGGAUACUGCUGCCUCUGCUUGACUUGAGAAUGUGUGAGAAAAGCUGUGUUUAGACAACUGAAAACCAUGAGCUUGAAAGUAGUGGGGGCACACUCUUGGAGACUCCAGUUGCUCACCAGCUUGGACAAACCACUGGACUCAAAUGAUCAGGUAGAAAUUCAUCACUGGAGAGAACACAGUGGAAUGGCUUCAGCGAAAACUCACUCUGAAGGUCUUCAGGGCAACUUUAAGACUUGCCCCUGGCCGGGCACAGUGGCUUAUGCCUAUAAUCCCAGCACUUUGGGAGGCCGAGGCGGGUGGAUCACCUGAGGUCAGGAGUUCAAGACCAGCCUGGCCAAUAUGGCGAAACCCUGUCUCUACUAAAAAUCCAAAAAAUUAGCCGGGCGUGGUCGUGGGCGCCUGUAAUCCCAGCAACUCGAGAGGCUGAGGCAGGAGAAUUGCCUGAACCCGGGAGGCAGAGUUUGAAGACAGCCGAGAUUGCACCACUGGGCAACAAGAGCAAAACUCCAUCUCAAAAAAAAAAAAAAAAAAAAAAAUACUUGCCCCGGCUUUUUGUGUGAUGGACUUUCUAUUUACAGACGUGAUAUUUAUCUAUGACUUUACUCAGAGUCUGGCUCAUAGACCAGAAGGACUGGUAUCUCCUGGAGCUUGCAGGAAAUGCAAAAUCUCAAACCCCUGUAUUAGUCAGGGUUCUCCAGAGAAGUAGAGCCAAUGGGAUAGAGACAGGGAUAGGGAUGAUAGAGAUGGAGAUAGAGGUAGAGAUCCAUUGAUUCCUCUGUUAAUAAAUUGGCUCAUGCAGUUGUGACAAUUUCGAAAUCUGCAAGGUAUGUCAGCAAGCUGGAGACCCAGGGAACAGUUGAUGUUGCACCUUGAGUACAAAGGCAGUGUGUCUGGAGCCAUAAUAUCUUCUUGUUAGGAAGACUUUGGUCUUUUCUCUUCUGGCCUUCAACUGCUUGGGUGAGGCCCGUCCCCACUACAGAAGACAAUAGUCUGUUCUACUCAGAGUCUACUGAUUUAAAUGCUCAUCUCAUCCCAAAAAAUACCCUCACAGCAACAUUUAGCCUGUGCAUUUGACCAAACAACUGGGUACCAUGCCCCCCCUCCCAAGUUGACACACAAAAUUGACCAUCAUACCCUCCCCACCCCCAGUCUUACUGAAUGAGAGAGAAUCUGUGCUUCAACAAGAUCCCCAGAAGAGGUAUAAGCGCAGGGAAGUCUGAGAAGCACCACCUUUGAGGCUUAUCCAGGAUGCCCACAUGAGCCUUCUCUGGAUAUGUCAGAUCCCCUUCCUGGCCCCCUAGACACCUCCUCCACUCCCCAAACUUGGAAGCAACAUUGUGGGGAAGCAGGCAGUGAGGCGCUCAGUCUACCACGUUGUGAGAUACACAGCUCCAUCUGUGUAUCAUGAUUUGAUCCAAGGGAAAACAAAAGAUCCAGAAACAUAAGUACUUUUUUGUGAGCUCUCAAAAACUUCCUGUGACAAGAUCAGGUCGUUGAUGCGAGAGCCACACUUGUUUCUUUUUCCUCUUUAUUCUCCACCUCUGACAUAAUACUUAGCAUAAAAAAAAAUCCAAUAAACACCACUGAAUCAAUUAUCUAAGCCUCAGUUUCCCUCUUGUAAUAUGUACUUACCUGGUUGUGGUAGGAAAGACACCAGGCAUGAGAAACACUUAAAAGCCCAGGACCCUGAGCUGGGCACAUGGUAGGUACUCAGGAAGUCAUUGCCGAGUGUUCAGUGCAUGCUUGUUGAAUGAGUAAAUGAGGUCAGGCUUCAGCAUGCAAACACUCGCUAUAAAGCAGGAACCCUGUGCCCUGAGUGCACAAAAUAGAUAUCGAGAAGGAACACAGGCUCAGACAUCAGUGCCAUAUCUGAAGACAUUCAGCUAAUAACAGGAUGGAGUCCAAUCUGCUGGUGUGUGCACACCUGUGCCUGGGUGUCUUUGCUGGUGUGUGCACAUGUGUCUACAUGUGUGGUCGUGAGAGUACACACAGGGGCUGGAGGGUGGGGAAGGGCUUAAUCUAAUCCUGAAAGUGCCAGCAGAACUCUUGGGUGUCCCUCAAAGUCAAGCUUCUUUCCAGGUCAUCGAAGUUUUCACUUGGGUAAUAAUGCACGCAUAAUUAACUGAACAAAUAUAAUGAAUCUAUCUGUAGUGACAUGAUAGUUGGUGCUGAAUCCUAUUAGAGCACAUUUAAUUAAAAAUGCAUUAAACCUUCAAGCUUCUAAACACACCCUGCGCUUCUUCAAAGCCGCCCCUCCGUUAAAGUCUUCCCCACUAUUAACUAUGAGUCAGCCUGUGACCCUUUGGGCAUGACGGGGUGAGGUGAAGUGGCUCUUAAAUGCCUGUGCCAGUAUAUCACAGGCACUAAUGGAUUUAAAUCAGGGAGAUUAAUUCCAUUCAUUCGGCUCCUCAUUUCAGAAACAACUGUCACGCUGAGCCUAAUUGCUGAAGAUGGUUGAAGGCACCAGGAGGCUGGAGUUUCCUGGAGGUGGUUUGUGGCCAACCGUCAAUUACUUGGGCUGCUGUGCAGUGGGGAUAGAAGGAUGAUUAGAAUCCACAGACAACCCAUUGGCCUUUGUUUACCAUUAACUUCUGUUUUCUCCACCAGCCAAGCUCCUCCAGACCCAGGAGAUGGCUCUUCCCUCUGUGUAGCACACUCUUUCCAGUCAAGGGGUCUUGCACUGCUAUUUCCCCUUCUGCUUUGCUUGGUUCAUUCUUACUGACCCUCCAAAUACUGAAGGAAUGAAUGGAGAAAUAAGUAAAUGAGAGAUGUGGCCAAGAGUCUCCAAGAGAGGAAAUUAAAAAAUCCUAUACCUGUGAGGAACUGGCCCACUUGCAAAAGGCGGACUCAUUUGUCACUGUGUUUGCUGGCUGCUCGCACCACACAGUUUCCAGCCUAGGCAUUAUUUCCAACCUCUUUUUCCAAAGGGUCUUUCUAAGGUACAGAAAAUGGACAUAAAAUCGCCCAACGUAGUUGAGAGGUAAGGAGUAAAAGCCGGAAUUUGAACUCCUAAUCUCCUGCCACGAUUUCAUGCUGCCUCUGGGUAAUCUCCCAGCACGUUGCUUAAUCAGCUGCUGAGUCAUUGAGAGCCGGCAGAACCAGCUUCCUGCUGAGGCAGAGUGGGAGGAGGCCCGUCUGGGAGCAGCACACUGAAGGAAGGGAGGAGGAGGUGAUGUUUGGCACAAUCGGAUUGGUUCCCAUGAGGUCCAGGGCUGCGGCUCCUACAGAAGGCACUUUUUGCAUAUGGUAGGCUUCACGGGGUGCAACCUCUGUGUUGUUAGGAGAACCUCGUGCUUGCUAUGAUGCUCUGCUGUCAUUAUCUUGAAAUUCUUAGUCACAUUAAAACACGGGAGCCUACAUGUUUAUUUUGCACUGGAUCCUGCAAAUUAGCCAGUCCUGGUACUGAGGGCAGGUCCCUGGGUGAGUCUCACACAGCCUCCAUCCUUUGGUAAAGCAGCUUUCCUGAUUUAGCAAAUGCCUUACCAGAAAGCCUUUUCCUUGAAGAUGCUUUAACUUUUGUCUUCCCUGGCAAAGCUGUUUCCUUAUGGUAAAGCACCCAGCUCAUAGCUGAUAUUCAAUCCAUGAAGUAGCUCUGUCAGCAGCUGUCAUCAUGAAGACUUUGCAGCCUGCGGGUGGUAGCAUUCUGAAUCGUCAGUCUGUCUCGCUCCUGUAGCAAAUGCACGAUCCGGGAAAGCAUGUCCCAAGCUUUGUUCUGGAGAAGAUUUCUCCAGCUAUCAGAUGGUGUCUGUCAUCACAAUAGCUUAGGAGAUGCUGCUCACUCCAUCCUCCUCACUAAGUGUCACAGUACACUUGGGUAUGUACAAGUCUCUGAGAAGUCCAGCAGCAAAGACACCUUUGUGUUUUGCUGAUUCUAGCCUUUCCUAGACUAGAAGUCUUUUUUUCUAGUCUAGGAAAAGACUGUGGAAUCUUUUCUUUUUUUUCCUGAUACACACAUUCACAUUCCGUGGAACAUUUAGGACGUGGUUAUCUGGUCCUAAAGUAGUAAAGGUGAAGAUGUUGUGGGAGGUGCAAGAAAGAGCAGCAAGGAGUAGAUGGGGCACACUGCAAAGUGCGAUCCCCACAUACCUAAGUUAGUAUCAAUUACUACUAACAAAACUCGGCCAAGACUCUUUUGCAUUCGUUUUGUUUCUCUCUUUUACCCUGAUUAUAUUAAGAAAUAUGACAGGCCUGUGACUCACUGAUUAGACCAUCUUAGUCACUUUGGGUUGUCCCAGCAACAGGAGACUUAACUCUGACCAUAGGUAAGGAGCCCAGAGGACAGGAGAGCAGGGAUUUCUGAGGAUUUAACAAAUGCUUAUAAACAAAUGAUAUCACUUUGAACAAAGUAAUCAAAGUAUCAAAUGCUAUAAACACCACAGUAGGGCAAUGUGUGAAUCAUACUUGUGGUGAGACAUACAUAGAUCAGCUGCAAAGAGGAACUCAAUUCUGCAGAACCUCAGCUGGAGUAACUGAUGUGAAACAUGGACAGGGAAAUGGAAGGAAGUCAGCGGACACGGAAACUCUAGGAACUGAACUUUGACAAGGAACGCCGUCCAUAAUCCCAAGUCCUAUGACUUCAUAGAGGAAAAAAACCCUAGUGGAGCAGAACAGGGCCUCAUAGAGGGGCUGGGGCCUCACUGAGGGCUGGGAAGUUUGAUAGGACUUCCCUUGCUGGUAAGGAACAAAACUGGGUCUCAGGUUCAGGUUUGUAAAGCUAAUUUCAUACAUUUGCAGCAGAUGCUGUCAGUGUCCCUCCCCAAGCCCCUCAGCACUCAGCAUUCAUAGACAUCCUCAUCUUGCAAGCACCUGAGUCUCUCUCUGUAAGGUUUCUGUUGGCCUCAGGGCAGACCAGGGUACCAGGGAGGGCAGACCAGGGUACCAGGGAGCACAGCCCUCAAAGAAAGAUGACAGGAGUUGGUGUAAAUCUCAUGGCUUUCAUGUUACUUAGGGGGACCAAUGCUGAGGCAUGCUUAGCAUGAUCCUCUGUGAGACUGGGCCUCAGGUGUCCGCUGCAGCCGCCUGUUCAUUAGUGUGACAUGCACGGGAUUCCUUCCGUAUCCUGGCCCCUUUCUCUACUUCCCAACCGUGCUUCCUGAGACAUACUCAAAUCCUUGUCUCACACUUGGCUUCUGGGAGAAUCCAACUGCAAAUGCUGUGUUUUAUUUUUUAUUUAUGUAUUUAAUUAUUUGGAGAUAGGGUCUCCCUCUGUCACCCAGGCUGGAGUAAAAUGGCACAAUCCUAGCUCACUGCAAUAUUAAACUCCUGGGCUCCAGUAAUCCUCAGCCUCCAGGAGCUGGAACUACAGUCGUGCACAGCAAUGCCAGCUAAAGUUUCCUUUAAAUUUUUUGUAGAGUCAAGAUCUCACUAUUUCAGUCAGGUCUUGAACUCCUUGCCUCCCAAAGUUCUGGGAUUACAGCACUUGGCCUCCCAAAGUGCUGGGAUUACAGGCGUGAGCCACUGCAUCUGGCUGUUUAUUCCAUUAAAAUGAUUGAAGGAGUCUCUUGCUUUGGGAAUUUUGCUCCCGUGGUGAGAACACUAUGGGAAUGACAUCUCAAGAAUAUGGCUCCUUCAAAUGAAUUUAAAAUGGUCUUUCUAUUUUUGUCCAGUGGUUACAAUAGCUGAUGGGCUCGAGGUAAGGAGAUGCUAAGCUGCCAUUCUCUCCUUCAACCCAUGGCAUUUACUGAGCUUCUAAAUCAGUCAGGCCCUGGGCUGGACCCUGGGCAUGCAGACUGAAUCAGAGCCUUCAGGACUAGCAGGAGAGACAGGUAUAUAUAGUGGCAAGGGCAAUAUUUAUUCACUCAUUCAUUCUUUUUCCUUUUUUAUGUGCCAAAUCUUUAAUGAGGGCCUACCUUGUACUCAGGAACACCAGGAAUAAACAGAAAACAAAAAGAUAUCAUUUCUGGACUCAGUUCACCAUCUAGAGAAAAAAAAAAAAAAAAAAAAAGACCUGAAAUGGACAAAUACAGUACUGUUUGACAAAUGUCACGUAAGAAGAAGCCCAUGAUACUGAGGAUGGUAUAGGAGGGGCCGUAUCCAGGUUGAAGGAGUCAAAUAUGACAGCUGCCGUGAGAAUUACAAUCAGAAAACCAUGACCCGGAUGCUUAUCCUAUUCAUUGCUUGAGCCUGAGAACACAAACACACAGGGUGUGGCUGAAAUUCCUCUGAAAUUGUAUUGAUUUGAGAAAACUGCAAUCUUGUGUUAAAAUGUGAAUCAUACACAAGGAUGCAAAACAGUUACCGCUGACCAUAAAUCUAGGCUAUCAGAAUGGAAUCUGAUGGCUUGUCUACCAGACUGCAUUGUGAAACCAAUCAAAUGGGAGAUAGACUCACCACUUACCAAGUACCUCUGAGACACCAGGCACCCUGUGGGGUGCCCUACUCAUCAUCUUGUUUAACCAGUUGAUUGGGAAUAGCUCCAUUUUACAGAGAAAGACUGUUAGGCAGCUUUCUAAGAUGGCCCUAAUUAUUCCUUCCUUCUGGUAAUCCCCUUCCUUUAAAUGUGGGCUACACUUAAUUACCUGCUUUUAACAAACAGAAUAUAGCAAAAGUGAUGGGAUGUCAGGAGACUGAAUCAGUAACCAAAAACCUCCAGACAAAGAAAAGCCCAGGGCCAGAGGGCUUCACUGGUAAAUUUACCAAACAUUUAAAGAAGAAUUAGCACCAGUCUUUCUCAAACUCCUCAACAAAUUGAAGAGGAGAGAACACUUCUAAAUACACUUUAUGAGGCCAGCAUUACCCUAACAUCAGAGCCAGACAAAGACACAAGAAAAGAAAACUACAGACUAAUAUUUCUAAUGAAUCUUGAUGCACAAAUCCUCAAAAAAGAAGAAAACAUACUAGCAAACAUAAUUCAGCCGCACAUUAAAAGGAUUAAGCACCAUGACAAAGUGGGAUUUAUUCUUAGUAUAAAAGGAUAUUUCAACGUAAAAAAGUCAAUGUAAUAUAUCACAUUAAUAGAAUGAUGAGAAAAAAUCCACAAGAUUAUCCCAAUUGAUGCAUUUAACAAAACUUAAUACUCUUUCAUGAAAAAACACUCAACAAACCAGGAAUACAUGAAACUACCCCAACAUAAGACAGUCCACAAAUGAAAAGCUCACAACCAACAUAAUACUCAUGGUGAAAAGCUGAAAGCUUCCUCUAAGAUCAGGAAUGAGACAAAAAUGUCCACUUUUGAAUCAACCUGUAUUCAACAUAGUAUAAGAAGUCCUCGCCAGAAUUUUCAGGAAAAAAAAAAAAGAAAGAAAAAAAAGCCAGUCAAAUUGAAAAGAAAGAAGAAAAAUUAUCUUUGCUCACAAAUGACAUGAACUUAUAAAACUCCUAGAAUUAAUAAAUGGAUGCUGCAAUGUUGAAGGAUACAAAAAUCAACACACAAAAAUCAGUUAUGUUUUUAUAUACUAACAAUGAAUGAGCCAAAAAUGAAAUUAAAACAAUUCCAUUUACAAUAGCAUCAGAAAGACUAAAAUACCUAACAAUAAACUUAACCAAGGAGGUAAAAUGCUUGAGUAUUUAGACACUAAAAAUUAUAAGGCCUGCACGGUGGUUCAUACCUGUAAUCCCAGCAUUUUGGGAGGCAGGUGGAUCACUUGAGGUUAGGAGUUUGAGACCAGCCUGGCC
rnacentral:lncRNA from 1 species